AUGAGGGACUUAGCACCCGGGCCAGCAGCUGCGGAGGGUGUACUGGGUCCCCCAGCAGUGCCAGCCCACCAGCGCUGUGCUCUAUUUCUCACCGAGCCUUAGCUCUCUUCCCGCGGGGCAGGGCUCGGGACCUGCAGCCCGCCAUGCCUCAGCCUCCCACCCACUCCGUGGGUUCCUGUGCAGCCCGAGCCUCCCCGACGAGCGCCGCCCCCUGCUCCACGGCGCCCAGUCCCAUCGACCAUCCAAGGGCUGAGGAGUGCGGGCGCACGGCACCGGGACUGGCAGGCAGCUCCACCUGCAGCCCCGGUGCGGGAUCCACUAGGUGAAGCCAGCUGGGCUCCUGAGUCGUGGGGACGUGGAGAGUCUUUAUGUCUAGCUCAGGGAUUGUAAAUACACCAAUCAGCACUCUGUGUUUAGCUCAAGGUUUGUGAGUGCACCAAUCUACACUCUGUAUCUAGCUCAAGGUUUGUAAACACACCAAUCAGCACACUGUGUUUAGCUCAAGGUUUGUGAAUGCACCAAUUGACACUCUGUAUCUAGCUGCUCUAGUGGGGCCUUGGAGAACCUGUGUGUGGAAACUCUGUAUCUAAGUAAUCUGAUGGGGAGGUGGAGAACCUUUGUAUCUAGCUCAGGGAUUGUAAACGCACCAAUCAGCGCCCUGACAAAACAGGCCACUCGGCUCUACCAAUCAGCAAGAUGUGGGUGGGGCCAGAUAAGAGAAUAAAAGCAGGCUGCCCGAGCUUGCAUUAGUAACUCGCUCGGGUCCCCUUCCGGAUUGUGGAAACUUUGUUCUUUCGCUGUAUGUAAUAACUCUUGCUACUGUAGCUCGCUUUUUGGGUCUACGCUGCUUCUAUAAGCUGUAACAUUCACAGGGAAGAUCUGCAGCUUCACUCCUGAGACCACGAGCCCACUGGAAAGAACAAACAACUCCCGAAGUGCUACCUUAUAGAGCUAUAACACUCACCGCGAAGGUCUGCAGCUUCACUCCUGAGCCAGGGAGACCACAAACCCACCAGAAGGAAAAAACUCCGAAUACAUCUGAACAUCAGGAGGGACAGACUCCAGACGGGCCACCUGAAAAGCUGUAACACUCACCGUGAGGGUCCGGGGCUUCAUUCUUGAAGUUAGUGAGACCAAGAACCCACCAAUUCGGGACACACUUGGACCAUCCGCUUCCCAGGAAGCGUCAGCCCUGGGGUGCCCAUGCCCAGAAGCCCACUCCAGCCCUGAUAGUCGCCUCCCAGCUGAGCCAGGAACCUGGGGCUGAGCUCCAUCCUCAACCUUAAAAACUUGUCAUCUCACCUGUCCCGAGGAUGUGCGGUACCUGCCCUACUUCUACCAUCCUCACCCUACUCUUUUCCUGGGCUAGCGUUAUGAUGUCUAAACCUAUCUAUCAUCCCGUUCUGUGCUCUGUAUAUUCAUUUUCCACAUAACGUAAAAUGUAGGUCUGGCUAAGCCCCCUCCACAUGGACAACGUGGGCCCUACUCUCCACAGACUCCAGCCACCUGCGACCCCUUCUGCCUCAUGCUACGUGUGAUCACAGCCUUUUCUCCUGUUGCUAUCCUGACCGAGAUGCUCCUCUAACAAGCUUGUCCACCCUUUCACACCCCUCAGCACACGCCCUGGCUUCAUAUGGCCGCCUGGUACCCUCCCUGCCGUUUCUGCCCAGAUCUGUUCUGUGCCCAGCAGGUGUUAUUGGCUUCAUCUACUUGCAGGUCUGUCCUUACUAACUGGAACACCCCCGAGGGCAGGAACGGUUUACCCCAGCAUGGAGCACAGUUCCGGGGCCCUAGGAGGAGCUCAGAGGACCUGUGGGAAAUGUUCCCAUGGGCAAUGACUCCCUGAAUGUAACGUCGUAUGUCACCUUGGAGGGAAAGACCCCAUAAAAACCUAAUCAUAUUCAAGGGAAAGGAGCUUGGCUUUCCUGGGUACAGCCUAAUGGUGUUGGUGACUGGGGUAGGAAGGGGACUCAGCUUCUAUUGUAUCAUGUUCUCGUCGAUUCCUCCUUAUCCUGACUGUGAGCCCGAGAGGGCAGGGACCAAGGUCCUAAUGUAUCCCAGCGGAGCGUACACAUAAUGGAGUCCGAGAGGGAGCAUGCACCAGUC
rnacentral:lncRNA from 10 species